rnacentral:rRNA from 1 species
UUAAAAUGAGAGUUUGAUCCUGGCUCAGGAUAAACGCUGGCGGCAUGCCUAAUACAUGCAAGUCGAACGGGAGUGCUUGCACUCCAGUGGCGAACGGGUGAGUAACACGUAUCUAAUCUACCUUUUAGUGGGGGAUAACCUUUGGAAACGAAGGAUAAUACCGCAUAAGAUCUUCAUUAUGACAUCAGAAGAAGAGGAAAGAUCCGUUUGGAUCGCUAAAAGAUGAGGAUGCGGCGUAUUAGUUAGUAGGCGGGGUAAAGGCCCACCUAGACGAUGAUACGUAGCCGAACUGAGAGGUUGAUCGGCCACAUUGGGACUGAGAUACGGCCCAGACUCCUACGGGAGGCAGCAGUAGGGAAUUUUUCACAAUGGACGAAAGUCUGAUGAAGCAAUGCCGCGUGAGUGAUGAAGGUCUUCGGAUUGUAAAGCUCUGUUGUAAGGGAAGAAUAAGCCAGGAAGGAAAUGUCUUGGUGAUGACGGUACCUUACCAGAAAGCCCCGGCUAACUAUGUGCCAGCAGCCGCGGUAAUACAUAGGGGGCAAGCGUUAUCCGGAUUUAUUGGGCGUACAGGGUGCGUAGGCGGUUGUGUAAGUUUAAGGUUAAAUCCCAGAGCUCAACUCUGGUUCGCCUUAAAAACUAUACGACUAGAAUGUGACAGAGGUAAACGGAAUUCCAUGUGUAGCGGUGAAAUGCGUAGAUAUAUGGAAGAACACCUGUGGCGAAAGCGGUUUACUGGGUCAUUAUUGACGCUGAGGCACGAAAGCGUGGGGAGCAAAUAGGAUUAGAUACCCUAGUAGUCCACGCCGUAAACGUUGAGUAUUAAGUGUCGGACUUAAGUUCGGUGCUGCAGCUAACGCAUUAAAUACUCCGCCUGAGUAGUAUGCACGCAAGUGUGAAACUCAAAGGAAUUGACGGGGACCCGCACAAGUGGUGGAGCAUGUGGUUUAAUUCGAAGCAACACGAAGAACCUUACCAGGGCUUGACAUCCAGUGCAAUGGUAUAGAGAUAUACCGGAGGCUAACAUUGAGACAGGUGGUGCAUGGUUGUCGUCAGUUCGUGCCGUGAGGUGUUGGGUUAAGUCCCGCAACGAACGCAACCCUUGUCAUUAGUUACUAACAUUCAGUUGAGGACUCUAAUGAGACUGCUAGUGUAAGCUAGAGGAAGGUGGGGAUGACGUCAAAUCAUCAUGCCCCUUAUGUCCUGGGCUACACACGUGCUACAAUGGCUGAUACAAAGAGUCGCAAUCCCGCAAGGAGGAGCUAAUCUCAUAAAGUCAGUCUCAGUUCGGAUUGAAGGCUGCAACUCGCCUUCAUGAAGCCGGAAUCACUAGUAAUCGCGGAUCAGCGAUGCCGCGGUGAAUACGUUCUCGGGUCUUGUACACACCGCCCGUCACACCACGAGAGUUGGUAAUACCAGAAGCAGGUUACCUAACCUUUUAGGAGGGUGCCUUCCAAGGUAGGACUAGCGAUUGGGGUGAAGUCGUAACAAGGUAUCCGUACGGGAACGUGCGGAUGGAUCACCUCCUUUCUAUGGAG